rnacentral:rRNA from 1 species
UACGUAGGGGGCAAGCGUUGUCCGGAUUUAUUGGGCGUAAAGAGCGUGUAGGCGGCCAUACAGGUCCGUUGUGAAAACUGGAGGCUCAACCUCGAGAUGUCGGCGGAAACCAUCUGGCUAGAGUCCGGAAGAGGAGAGUGGAAUUCCUGGUGUAGCGGUGAAAUGCGCAGAUAUCAGGAAGAACACCCGUGGCGAAGGCGGCUCUCUGGGACGGUACUGACGCUGAGACGCGAAAGCGUGGGGAGCGAACAGG